CCUACGGGCGGCAGCAGUGAGGAAUAUUGGUCAAUGGACGAGAGUCUGAACCAGCCAAGUAGCGUGAAGGAUGACUGCCCUAUGGGUUGUACACUUCUUUUAUAUGGGAAUAAAACGUUCCACGUGUGGGAUUUUGUAUGUACCAUAUAAAUAAGGCUCGGCUAACUCCGUUCCAGCAGCCGCGGUAAUACGGAGGAUCCGAACGUUAUCCGGAUUUAUUGGGUUUAAAGGGAGCGUAGGUGGAUUUUUAAGUCAGUUGUGAAAGUUUGCGGCUCAACCGUAAAAUUGCAGUUGAAACUGGCAGUCUUGAGUACAGUAGAGGUGGGCGGAAUUCGUGGUGUAGCGGUGAAAUGCUUAGAUAUCACGAAGAACUCCGAUUGCGAAGGCAGUUCACUGGACUGCAACUGACACUGAGGCUCGAAAGUGUGGGUAUCAAACAGGAUUAGAUACCCCAGUAGUC
rnacentral:rRNA from 1 species